UACGAAGGGGGCUAGCGUUGCUCGGAAUGACUGGGCGUAAAGCGCAUGUAGGCGGCCGAACAAGUCAGGUGUGAAAUCCUCGGGCUUAACCUGGGAAGUGCACUUGAUACUGUCCGGCUAGAGUUUGGCAGAGGAAAGUAGAAUUCCCGGUGUAACGGUGAAAUGCGUAGAUAUCGGGAGGAAUACCAGUGGCGAAGGCGGCUUUCUGGGCCAAUACUGACGCUGAGGUGCGAAAGCGUGGGGAGCAAACAGG
rnacentral:rRNA from 1 species